rnacentral:rRNA from 14 species
AGACCCGAAACCAGGUGAUCUACCCAUGUCCAGGGUGAAGUCCAGGUAACACUGGAUGGAGGCCCGAACCCACGCACGUUGAAAAGUGCGGGGAUGAGGUGUGGGUAGCGGAGAAAUUCCAAUCGAACUUGGAGAUAGCUGGUUCUCUCCGAAAUAGCUUUAGGGCUAGCCUCAUGUUGUAAGAAUCUUGGAGGUAGAGCACUGUUUGGACUAGGGGCCCCCAUCGGGUUACCGAAUUCAGACAAACUCCGAAUGCCAAAGAUUUAUCCAUGGGAGUCAGACUGCG